rnacentral:lncRNA from 1 species
CCCCUCUGCAGUGAUGUGGGGCCACGUAGCGAGUCCUGAUCCAGGGAUGGAGAGCUGGACGGUCAGUGUCAUUUCCAGCUGAGGCCAAGGAGCAGGCGGGGCUCUCCAAGUGCUGUCUCCCUUGGGAUGAGACCAAGGACCCCCAAGGGCAAAGCAACCACAGUUCCUAAGUCACUGCAAAGACACCUGGAUGCCGAGUACGCAUACGUGAACUGCUAUGCCUACGUGGACUGCUAUGCCUGGCGAAGCCCAGCUCAGUCACUCCUCUAGGAGCCCCCAGCUAAACUCAAGUCCAAGUGGUGCUUCCAUAGCGUCCUGUGAUCUCCCCGAGGGCAGGAGCUUUGUGUCUGAUAGAAUUUGGGUGUUUGUCUCCUCCAAAUCUCAUGUUGAAGUGCAAUCCCCGAUAUUGGAAGUGGGGGCUGGUGGGAAGUGUUUGGGUCUUGGAGGCAGAUCCCUCAUGAAUGGCUUGGUGCUGUCCACCAGAGUAACGAGCAAGUUUUCAUGAGAACUGGUUGUUAAAAAAAAAAAAAAAAGAACCUGGCACCUCCUCCCCUAUCUUUUUCUUCCCCUCUCACUCUGUGACAUGCCAGCUCCCCUUUGCCUUCCUCCAUGAGUAGAAGCUCUCUGAGGUCCUCACCAGAAGCAGAUCCUGGACCCACACUUCUCGUACAGCCUACAGAACCAAAACCGAAGAAGGAUGGACUGGCCACAGUCCUCAUCGCUUGCAUCCACCCUGACACUCAUCUGAAGGCUGUGGUUUGGCCUCAGGACCUCUGGCAGCAGCGCCCAGACCCACUGAGACAGCGUGUGGGGUUUGAAUUCACUCUUCAUGAUCGGCUUCUCCUGGGGAUUAGAAAAUCCACAGCCAAAAGCCGUCUCCUGCCCCACCCACCUCCACCAUCUGCAGGAAGGAGACAGUGGAAGAGAGAGCCCCUCUUUUCCCUGGGGAUACUGUCAUGUUUGUGUCUGGCUGUGAUGCCCAGAGCGGCUGCACCUCGCCUCCACCUUGAAGAUGCAGCCAAUGGGCAGAGCCCAUGGGAUCCAGGAGAAGUGAAGUCAGAGCUUUGA